UACGGGGGGGGCAAGCGUUGUUCGGAAUUACUGGGCGUAAAGGGCUCGUAGGCGGCCAACUAAGUCAGACGUGAAAUCCCUCGGCUUAACCGGGGAACUGCAUCUGAUACUGGAUGGCUUGAGUUCGGGAGAGGGAUGCGGAAUUCCAGGUGUAGCGGUGAAAUGCGUAGAUAUCUGGAGGAACACCGGUGGCGAAGGCGGCAUCCUGGACCGGCAUUGACGCUGAGGCGCGAAAGCUAGGGGAGCAAACGGG
rnacentral:rRNA from 1 species